UGGCGAACGGGUGAGUAACGCGUGGGAAACCUGCCCUUGAGUGGGGGACAACACUUCUAACGAGGUGCUAAUACCGCAUAAUAUCUUUGGAUGGCAUCUUCCGAAGAUCAAAGACGGCCUCUGAUUUAAGCUGUCGUUUGAGGAUGGUCCCGCGUCCGAUUAGCUUGUUGGUGAGGUAAUGGCUCACCAAGGCUACGAUCGGUAGCCGGCCUGAGAGGGUGUCCGGCCACACUGGGACUGAGAUACGGCCCAGACUCCUACGGGAGGCAGCAGUCGAGAAGCUUCCGCAAUGGGCGAAAGCCUGACGGAGCGACGCCGCGUGAGUGAGGAAGGUCUUCGGAUCGUAAAACUCUGUCAGAGGGGAAGAAACACGAAUGGGUUAAUAUCCCAUUCGCUUGACGGUACCCUCAGAGGAAGCUCCGGCUAACUCCGUGCCAGCAGCCGCGGUAAUACGGAGGGAGCAAACGUUGUUCGGAAUCACUGGGCGUAAAGGGCUCGUAGGCGGCUUUUUAAGUCGGGGGUGAAAUCCAGUGGCUCAACCAUUGGCCUGCCUCCGAAACUGAAAAGCUUGAGUCCGUGAGGGGAGAGGGGAAUUCCUGGUGUAUCGGUGAAAUGAGUUGAUAUCAGGAGGAACACCCGUGGCGAAGGCGCCUCUCUGGCACGGUACUGACGCUGAGGAGCGAAAGCGUGGGGAGCAAACAGGAUUAGAUACCCUGGUAGUCCACGCCGUAAACGAUGAGAACUAGG
rnacentral:rRNA from 1 species